rnacentral:tRNA from 1 species
GGCCGGGUCGCCAAGUGGUUAAGGCGCGUGACUGUCUAUCACGUAUCGCGGGCUCGAUCCGUUCCGGUCGCCA